GGGGAUGAGCUUAUCUCUAGAAACUCUUAUCAAUGUGGAAGGCAAGGACUUAAAUCUGCAUAAUAACCUCACUCUUGUUUACUGUGCUUUUCUGGCAAUCUCCCAUAACUGGCUCCUCCCACCCCCAACAUCCUCCUUUGUCUUUAGCUGAGGAUGGUAUUUAAGGUAAGAGCUUCUGCCAUUUUGGUGAGUUACUCAAUUUUCCUGAGUCUCUCCCACGUAUACAUGUUAUAAAGCUUGUUUAAUUUUCUCCUGUUAUUCUGUCUCAUGUCAAUUUAAUUUGUAGUCUGGCCAGAAGGACUUAGAGUGGGUAGAGGAAAUGUCUUCCUCUCCUACAGUUUAGCAACUUAAACGGGAUAAAAUUUCACUGCCUGGACACUGCUCACUCCUGGACUGCUGCAGCCAAGAGAUCCUGGACCCCUGACAAGAACCAGCAAAAGGACCUGAGAGCCAUUCUUUUGAAAUGCAAAUGUUUCUCAGAAACUGGACACAAUUGGAAACAUUGGUUAUCUUACCAAGGCUUUGACUGGAAUGUCACAUUUGAGAGAAACAGGUACAGACUCAGAUAUGACAAUACAGCCUUCGAGGAAUAAGGUUGACUUUCUGGAAUAAAGCCCCUUGGAACUAUUGGCCUAAUACCUUGUCUACAGAGAUUCCAGCAAUCUUACCUAGUAAGUAAGGAAGCUCACUUAUCUGGCAGAUGCCUGGAACCUUGAAAUAUUUUGGGAAACUCAAGAGAAAAGAGGAAUUCAUCCAAAUAUAAGUAGUGCAGGCAAGGCCUGAUGACAAAUCCUUGGCUUCCUUUCCUGGCCUUGAGAGGCCUUUAAAGUUCAAUCUGAGAUUCCUUAUAAGAAGUUCUAGCAAAGCAGAUUUAAAAGCGCCUAUAUGACCAAUGGCUAUUCUUGCUGUACUUAUGUAAAUAAUUUGGCCAAGUUUAUUGAAACUAAACUUACUUUGCAAACCAGUUAGUCUUAAUUUGGCUAUCUUUGGUAAAAAUGAGGGUGAUUUAGAGAGAAAAGUUAUGUUUCAAUAAAAACUACAGUACACAUUCAUGGAUUUUAGGUUCUAGUUCUGAUAACUGUCCUUGAGGGUUUUAUUUUCUAUCUGUGAACUGGACUGGAUCCUGAAUUCUUCUAGUCCCCUUAAAUAUCUGGCUACGAAUCUCCAAACUAAUGUUUUCAAUUGUUUCCCUCAUUUUCAUUUGGAAUCAUUGAGAACUGAACCUGCCCUUUUUCCUGAAGCUUUGCAAACUGAAACUGAACAACUUGAUAUAAACUUAAAAGAGAUUCAUGUCUGUUGCUUGUGUAAGCUGUAAGCCACUCAGAAAGAUACACCCAAUGACAUCAUCACAGAAAUCUCAAGCUGCAAAAGAUGCUUCAACCCUGACAUCUAGAGAUCUUGACUGGCUGUUCCCUGGGCUCAGGAACUGGUUUAUAAUUUGCUCCAACCAUUAACCUUGUUUUUUUUUUUUAUUUCCAUAUAAAUACUUCUUAUUAGAUACCUGA
rnacentral:lncRNA from 1 species